GCCACCGUAGCAUAAUUGGUAAUGCAUGGAAUACCGCGGCAGCUUCGCACUUAUGCAGGUUUGAAUCCUGCCCGUGGCA